UACGGGGGGGGCAAGCGUUGUUCGGAAUUACUGGGCGUAAAGGGCGCGUAGGCGGCUUUUCAAGUCGGGCGUGAAAUCUCCGGGCUUAACCCGGAAGGGUCGUUCGAUACUGUUGAGCUAGAGUGUGGAAGAGGCAACUAGAAUUCCGUGUGUAGCGGUGAAAUGCGUAGAUAUACGGAGGAAUACCUGAGGCGAAGGCGGGUUGCUGGGCCAACACUGACGCUGAAGUGCGAAAGCCAGGGGAGCAAACGGG
rnacentral:rRNA from 1 species